CCGGCCACGGCAGUCCGGGGCUCAUAACCUGUUAACGCGCGCAGCCCGCAGGCAGUCCCUGCGGGCCGCGCGGUGCUAACGGGUUGUGGGACCCGGACUGACGCGGCUGG
rfam:Chlamydomonas reinhardtii strain CC-503 cw92 mt+ CHLREscaffold_10 genomic scaffold, whole genome shotgun sequence.